GCCCUCGUUGUCUAAUGGCUAUGACGUCAGACUUCUAAUCAGAUCAUCUGGAGGUUGUGGGUUCGAGUCCCACCGGGGGCU